rnacentral:rRNA from 1 species
AAUUGAGUAAUUAGUUUUGUUUAAAGUGUUAAGUGAAUUUAAAUUAAAUAAAUUAGGGUUAUUGUAUAAUUAAUGGAUUUAAUAAUUUAAACUAUAGUUAAUUAGUACUGUGAAGGAAUAUUUAAAGUGUGAAGAUUAAAAUUAUUAGAAGGUAAAUUAGUUUUUUGUAUCUUGUGUAUCAGAGUAAAUUUAAAGGAAUAUUUAAUUUUUUUUUCUCGAAUUUAAAAGAUUUAAUUGUAAAAUCUAAUUAUUGUUUUAAAAAUAUUAGGAAUUUAUAGUUGGUAGUGAAACGUUAAUCGUUUUUAAGGAUAUCUAGUUUUUUAAUAAAUGAAUUUAAUUCAAAAUGAAUAAGUUAUUUAAUAAGUUUUUAUUAAAAUAUUUUAUUCUUUAAAGAUUUUAAGGGAUAAACUUUAAAAUUUAUUAUUAUAAUAAGGGUUUAGUAGAGGAUAUUAUAAAUUUAGAAUUUGUUAUUGUUUAAAGGAUGUAAAAAUUUAAUUCUUAUUUUUAUAAAUUUUAUGUUUUAUUUAAUUUUUAUAUUAAAAUAUUAAAUUAAACUUGGUUUUUUGAGUAAAUAUGAUUUAAUUAGUAAAGUGUAAUAUAAAUAGUAAAUGUAAUUUGAAAUGUUAAUAUAAAGAAUUAGGCAAAUUUAAUUUACUCGCCUGUUUAUUAAAAACAUGGUUUCUUGAAUUUAAUUAAGAAAUUUAACCUGCCCACUGAAAUUAUUUUUGAAGGGCCGCAGUAUUUUGACUGUGCAAAGGUAGCAUAAUCAUUAGUCUUUUAAUUGAAGGCUGGUAUGAAUGGUUGGACGAGGUAAAUACUGUUUUAUGUUAAUUAUCAUUGAAUUUAGAUUUUAAGUAAAAAGACUUAAAUUAUAUUAAGGGACGAGAAGACCCUAUAGAGUUUAAUAUAUGUAGUUUUGAUUAAGUUAAUAAAUAAUUUUUGGUUAUUAUAAAGUUUAUUUAAUUGGGGUGAUUGAAAAAUAAGAGGAACUUUUUUUUUAUUUAAAUAUUGUAAGUAGAUAAGUGAUCCAUAUUUAGUGAUUAGAAGAUUAAAUUACCUUAGGGAUAACAGCAUAAUUUUUUUUGAGAGUUCUUAUUGAAAAAGAAGAUUGUGACCUCGAUGUUGGAUUAAGAUUAAGUAUGGGUGUAGAUGCUCAUAAAUUAGGUCUGUUCGACCUUUAAAAUCUUACAUGAUCUGAGUUUAAACCGGCGUGAGCCAGGUUGGUUUCUAUCUUUAUUAAUCUAGAAUGUUUUAGUACGAGAGGACCAAACAUUUGAAAUAAUUUUUGUGUAAUUGAAUAUUAUUAAU